CCUCGUUGUGCCCUAAACAUUCCCCGAAAUGCGCUUUCCAGAUAUACUCUUCUUUUAGCACAAUUUCCACUAAUUUUCUGGCUAUUUUUGUCACUUGAAGACAAUUGUGCUGGGUUUUGUUCAACGUGAAGGCCACUGCUUGUGUGGAUUGAAGGACUGCACUGAAGCUAACUGAGGUACAGUACGUACUGCUGGCUGAAGGCAAGUGGCUGAAAACAUAAAAGACGUGAUUUCAUCAACGCUGGAUUUGAACACUGGGCCCAAGACAGUCGACCAAACUGCAGCUCUGAUCUACUUCUACUCAUAACGUCUCACUGAAGCGGUCGGUUCUCCUGCUGCCGAUCGGAGAUGUCGUGGCUGUAGUUUUUCCUCCUCAGCUCGCCUCCUCCCACUGGCCUGCAGGGUGGAAAAAAUGACACAGCAGCAGCAGACAGAAAAUACAAGAGGUAACGCUGCUCCCAGACACGGUGAUCUACUGGAAACAGAACGAAAACCCUCAGUUUUCCAGGCUGUUAUAAGAAAAUAACAUCAAGUGAAUCUGCUCCUUUCUCUGUGUAAACAUGAGACAUUUAUCAGUGACUACAGACUGGUGUGGUGUGUCACACCAAAGAUAUCAAAUCUAAGAGGACCAUUGCAUUUAUGUCCAACACGUCUCCUAUGGCUAAAGGUCAAAUGAAGAUUUAAUUUAGUGGCGUCAGCUGCUAAGAGCUAACAGCGGUCAAAGCAGGGACCGAGAUCAGCUGUUACCGAGGCUCCAUCUUUGUCCCCGGGCCACGGCCUUUAACCACAGGCCCAGGGAGCCCUUAAAGAUGUGACUGCCCUGGGCAAACAUCCACCAGGUGUUUUAUGUGGCAGGUGCAGGUUUGAUUGGCAGCAGGUGGCAGACAGUCCAGGCGCUAACUGUGGCCGCAGUAACACAGCAAGACAGCAGGGGUGUCAA